CCCCGUUCUCAGGGCGGGGCGAAAUUCCCCACCGGCGGUAUGCGGGCAUGACCCGUAAGCCCGCGAGCGGCCCCAAUCUUUUUUGGGGUGACAAGCAGAUCUGGUGAGAGACCAGAGCCGACGGUCACAGUCCGGAUGAAAGAGAACGUGU
rnacentral:ncRNA from 2 species